UAGCUGGGGAAAGACAUGCAGUCUUCUCCCAGCUCUGCCAAUGACUGUGACCUUGGCCAAAGCAAUUCACUGCUCUGGGCUGCAGCUUCCAGCACCGAGUCAGAGGCCACACAGCCCAAAGAUUAGCUUCAUGUCCAUUAUAGCAUUGAGGGAACAGAGACACCCAUACACAGAACCACCUUGGCAUAGAAGCACGUAGGCAUCUUCCUCUUCCAGGAGAAUUGAUUCUGUGGAUGGGCAUGAUUUCAGGAGAUUGUGCAGGGCCAGCAUCAGUGCACAAAGGGUCCUGUAUGUCCUUUGGCUGCAAAUCACCCACUUCCCUGUGUGUUUCAGUGGGAUAAUUUCCUCUCCCACCUCUUCACAUCCUCUUUUGCCAGGCUGGAUGGUGUCGUUUCUGUACACAAAUACUUUCUGCAUUCCCCCCUCCACAAAAUCCUAGCCAGGCACCAGCACACCUAAUCACAGCAAAGCCCAGAUCCCCCCUCAGUUGCUUUUACUCAGCGUUUUCAAAUAGGAGUAAAGGCCCUCGCAAUUUCUAAUUAACAAGCAAGGCCCAAGGGAACACAUAUCUUCAAAAGUUUUUCUAAUCCCUCGCCUUGCACACCUGGCAUGCUUCAGGCACAUCUGUCCUACAGCUGGCAGAGACAGAUGCCUCGGUUCUUUGUCAUUCAGAUUGCAUUUGGCCUCUUCUCAUCUAUUUAUUUCUUUAUACAUCCAGACUUCAUCACAUGAAGCCUGUUGGGGUUAAGUUUGUAAGUGUUUAAUUGUGCAACUUGCCACCCUGUGUGCCUCCUCCGUGGCUGUCUGUGUGUUUUCCAUCAAAGAAUGCAAAGCAGACUUCCAGGUGUUUAAAUUCUGUUCACUCAAAAAUGCCAGAUGAAUGGAAGAGGGAACACACUGAGAUGACUUAGACUCUGGUCCACCAACCAGACCCUUGGAAUGGAAUAUUAAAAUCAUUACAAGGCAUGAAUUUUAAAUGGAUGAAAUUUCAAAUUAUCUUAUUUGGAUAGAAGUCUAUAUUCUAGCCUCGUUUGCCUGAAGUCAGAUAGCCAGAAGAAAUUUCAUUGCUCGUUUUCACGAAAUUCACUUGUCUUUUGUUAAUUAACACAGGGCCUUUCCCAAAUUAUUCUCUAGCCAAGCCCCGCCUUCAUUACUGUUGAAAUCCCUCAUUUAUUUCCUUCUCAAAGUGCCCGUUAUCCAAACGCAGAACCUUUGCAUCUCCAAGCCAGUUAUGCUGAAUUUGUCAAACUUAGACACCCUUGACAACUGCACUCCUACUGUAGGCUCCUGUGCGUACUGGCGUCUUCUGUGGGGGAUGGAGAGGUUAGUGUGAUGAGGUGGCAUCUGCCCAGGAGGUUUCUUUCAUACAUCAUGGCCUCCCAUCCAAUUAACAUCAUCAACUUACAUGUGUAAUUAAGGCUCUGUGCCAUGGGGGAAAUGAGUCAUUUAGCUAGGCCAGGAUCUAGUGACAGCCACAGAGUUUAGAACCAUGAAAGAAGUUGAAGGUAGCAUUCUUCAGCUCUGUGACUUGUGACCCUAUUUGAAGUUUCAGGAUUUGGGUGUCACAAAGGAUUGUCCCUAAUCCUUGGCCCUGGGGUUUUCCAAGUGAGCUAGUUUAAUACUCCGAGAAUGAGCUGGCAGAUCCAGGUAAUGAACCCCUGACCACAUCGCCUAAACUGUCUUCCAAGCAUGAGACAAAGUUGACUGAUCACACUGAUUGCCCAACACAUACCGUCUUGCCAGUUUCUCCUUUUCUCCCAGUCUCCUCUUCAUCCAUUCUGUUCUCCCUUGGGGUGGGAAUCUAUGGUGGAGGUUACUGGGGAAACAGCUCAGCAGAUUUUUAGAGACCAAACCAAAGGCCUCACUGAAAAAUUUAUCUGUUUUAAAACAUUGCUUCCUUCCUGGCUCUGCUAAAUUGAAUGCUCAUUGUUUUUUUGUUUUUUUUGUUUUUUUGUUUUUAAAUUCUAAUGUUCAAAUCACUGCGUGCUGUAUGAAUCUAGAAAGCCUUAAAUUACUACCACCAAGAAAUAAAGCAAUAUGUUC
rnacentral:lncRNA from 1 species